UGGCACAAAUAACGCAUUAAAUUGACCGCCUGGGGACUACGGCCGCCCUGUUAAAACUCAACGGAUUUGACGGUGCCACCAGCCGCUGUAAUACGGAGGGUGCAAGCGUUGUUCGGAAUUAUUGGGCGUAAAGCGCGUGUAGGCGGCUGUUUAAGUCUGAUGUGAAAGCCCUGGGCUCAACCCGGGAAGUGCAUUGGAAACUGGACAGCUUGAGUACGGGAGAGGGUAGUGGAAUUCCGAGUGUAGGGGUGAAAUCCGUAGAUAUUCGGAGGAACACCGGUGGCGAAGGCGGCUACCUGGACCGAUACUGACGCUGAGACGCGAAAGCGUGGGGAGCAAACAGGAUUAGAUACCCUGGUAGUCCACGCCGUAAACGAUGGGUACUAGGUGUCGCGGGUAUUGACCCCUGCGGUGCCGAAGCUAACGCAUUAAGUACCCCGCCUGGGGAGUACGGCCGCAAGGCUAAAACUCAAA
rnacentral:rRNA from 1 species